AUCUGGCUUAGCUCAUUUGAAAGAAAAGUGUUUUGUAGACAUUGAAAAUACAACAUGUAGAAAUCAAAAUGUGCAUGUACAAACCAUCCUGAUUCAUUUUGUCAUGUGUGUGGUGAAUUCAUGACAAGGAAACAAAGAUGACCAAUUUCUAACUUACUGAAGGCGUCAUAUCAUUUAUACUUCACAUGCCAACUGGGAGAUCAGGAUAAAGAUUCGGCACCUCACAUAACUAACACAAUGGCUAAAAGGAAAAAAAAAGAGCACUUACCAUGUGGCAUACAAAUGGUCUGCAAUUAGACCUGUUCCCUACAGUAAAGACGUGCCAGUUCCAACUCCUCCACUAGUGUGGGAAGAAGUUCCUAAUUCCAAUCACAAAUCUACAAAUGCUGAGGGAGCACAAUGACAAUCAAGUGAAGAAGAGAACUUUCCAGAACAAAGACCACAUUUAAUUACACAAGGAAUGGAACUUACUUCAUGAAGAAACAAGAAUUACUCACAUUAGGCAAUGUAAAAAUGAUCUGAUGACAUAUUACCCUAUGAUGGACAAUGUUUGUGCUUAUAGAUAACUACAUUAAUUUAUCAGGAAUACUGAAGCUAUUACAUAUAAGGAAGGAAAUUGGAAAAUAUGUGGUGAUCUCAAGAUGACUGGUUUACUAACUGGUCUACAAAGUGUUUCCACAUUUUCCUUUGUCUUUGGGACAGCAGUGCAACAGAUAAACAUUAUACAGUGGCCACUACAAGAGAAAUUGGCUCCAGGGAGAGCAAAUGUGGAAUAUGUACCUUUGGUGGAGUCUCGAAAUGUUUUCGUUCCCCCACCGCAUAGUAAACUUGGCCUUAUGAAGAAUUUUGUCAAGAGAAUGGACAAAAAUGCUAAUGGUUUCAUGUAUCUAUGUGAAGUGUUCCCUGAAUAAAGUGAUGGCAAAUUUUAA